GGUGUUGGGUUAAGUCCCGCAACGAGCCGCAACCCCUACUGCCAGUUACUAACAGGUAACGCUGAGGACUCUGGCGGAACUGCCGGUGACAAACCGGAGGAAGGUGGGGAUGACGUCAAGUCAUCAUGGCCCUUAUGUCCAGGGCUACACACGUGCUACAAUGGGCGGUACAAAGUGACGCGAAACCGCGAGGUUAGAGCGAAGCGCCAAAAGCCGCCCGUAGUUCGGAUUGAAGUCUGAAACCCGACUUCAUGAAGUUGGAAUCGCUAGUAAUCGCGCAUCAGCAUGGNGCGGUGAAUACGUUCCCGGGCCUUGUACACACCGCCCGUCACACCAUCCGAGUUGGAGGUACCCGAAGCCGGUNGUCUAACCGCAAGGGGGACGCUGUCGAAGGUACGUUUAGUGAGGAGGGUGAAGUCGUAACAAGGUAGCCGUACUGGAAAGUGCGGCUGGAUCACCUCCUUUCU
rnacentral:rRNA from 1 species